ACACUCUCUGAAAUGAUCCUCUGAAGAAGGUCAGACAGGAGAAGCUACUGGUGUGCACAGGACUCCGUCCUUUGUGCGCGCUGCACAAAAGAGGAAUGGCGAUCCUCAGGUUUCCUUAAAGAGCGCCAGAUCAGGAAGCUCUGCGAUACAGAAUUGGCUUUUCAGGGCAGACAGGAAUGUGUCAUCCUGCAGUGUCCACCAUGAUUUCUGGGGACCCCUCUGGGAAUAUCUUGAAGAAAGAGACUCUCAUGGAGGAAAAUCCCUUCAUCCAGGAAGAAGCCAUCAUUCCUGAAGAUACCAUCACUAAAGGCCAACCACAGGACGCAGGCCCAGCUUCCCCUCAUAACUGGCAUCACCUCUGGAAUGGGGUGAAGAAGACAAUUAUGAGCUGCCUUUGAAACCUGUGCUGUUGCCUGCCACCACCACAGAGAUGUCAAGCCUCCUAUGAGAAUCUGGCUCUGAGGAAAGGGGAUCAUGGAGUCACCCACAGGAGCAGGUGGGUGCAUGUCCUCAUUCGUUUCAUCCAUACUCCCUCUUGUUUUUUGUCCCCUUGUGGCUGACAUAUAAACUUAAACUGUAACUUCAGAAGGACUAGUUCCAUAGAAACCCCUGGAGGGCGACCUGAUGCUUGCUGAGCCAUAAGUGGAUAGCAGAGAUGCUGAUUAAAGUGGGGAGAGGAGGAGGUGGGGGUAUGCGCAAAGGAGGCAUAAAGUCCUUAGAGGUCCAUUGGGGUGCUAUGGCUCCUCACGGACAGCCCAGUAAAUCCCGUGUGUUUCACA
rnacentral:lncRNA from 1 species